rnacentral:rRNA from 1 species
UACGUAGGGUGCAAGCGUUGUCCGGAAUUAUUGGGCGUAAAGAGCUCGUAGGCGGUCUGUCGCGUCUGCUGUGAAAACUCAGGGCUUAACCCUGAGCUUGCAGUGGGUACGGGCAGACUAGAGUGCGGUAGGGGAGACUGGAAUUCCUGGUGUAGCGGUGAAAUGCGCAGAUAUCAGGAGGAACACCUGAGGCGAAGGCGGGUUGCUAGGCUGACACUGACGCUGAGGCGCGAAAGCUAGGGUAGCAAACGGG